rnacentral:rRNA from 1 species
UGCCAGACUCCUACGGGAGGCAGCAGUGAGGAAUAUUGGUCAAUGGCCGGAAGGCUGAACCAGCCAAGCCGCGUGAAGGACGAAGGUGCCAAGCAUUGUAAACUUCUUUUGUCAAGGGACAAAAUCAGGCUCGAGAGCCUGACCGAGGGUACUUGAAGAAAAAGCAUCGGCUAACUCCGUGCCAGCAGCCGCGGUAAUACGGAGGAUGCGAGCGUUAUCCGGAUUUAUUGGGUUUAAAGGGUGCGUAGGCGGGCUUUUAAGUCAGCGGUAAAAAUUCGGGGCUCAACCCCGUCCGGCCGUUGAAACUGGCGGCCUCGAGUGGGCGAGAAGUAUGCGGAAUGCGUGGUGUAGCGGUGAAAUGCAUAGAUAUCACGCAGAACUCCGAUUGCGAAGGCAGCAUACCGGCGCCCGACUGACGCUGAGGCACGAAAGCGUGGGUAUCGAACAGGAUUAGAUACCCGAGUAAG